rnacentral:tRNA from 2 species
GAAGUAUGUUAGUCAGAUGAAAGCUGCUAACUUAUCAUCUUAGCGGUUAAAAUCCGUUUAUACUUCU